GAUGAACGCUGGCGGCGUGCUUAACACAUGCAAGUCGAACGGUGAAAGCGGAGCUUGCUCUGCUGGAUCAGUGGCGAACGGGUGAGUAACACGUGAGCAAUCUGCCCCUGACUCUGGGAUAAGCGCUGGAAACGGCGUCUAAUACCGGAUACGAGCUGCGAAGGCAUCUUCAGCAGCUGGAAAGAACUUCGGUCAGGGAUGAGCUCGCGGCCUAUCAGCUAGUUGGUGAGGUAACGGCUCACCAAGGCGUCGACGGGUAGCCGGCCUGAGAGGGUGGCCGGCCACACUGGGACUGAGACACGGCCCAGACUCCUACGGGAGGCGGCAGUGGGGAAUAUUGCACAAUGGGCGAAAGCCUGAUGCAGCAACGCCGCGUGAGGGACGACGGCCUUCGGGUUGUAAACCUCUUUUAGCAGGGAAGAAGCGAAAGUGACGGUACCAGCAGAAAAAGCGCCGGCUAACUACGUGCCAGCAGCCGCGGUAA
rnacentral:rRNA from 1 species